AGGCCUUUCUGCGUGAGGGCUGAGCACUCCAGGUAGCACUGUGCUCCGAUCUUAAAGAGAAGAGAGAAAACGCAUUCCCAUGUGUCCUCCUGAAGUUUGCAGUCUGCAUCUGAUUGAGCCAGUGAUGUGAGCUGGUGUCGGAGCCCACGCAGAGCAUAUAGUGCCUGACUGUUAAAAAUGAAACUUGCUGAUCCCAAACAGCCUAGGGAUUUUACAUCACCUGUGAGGUUUCUUGUGUGAGCAAAACCUCCCACACGGGCCAGGAUUCACCAGUCCGGCUGUAAGAAGCGGCGUGAAGAGGAAUGAAGGGAAAGCCUGGCUGUCCACCUGGAAAGGUUGUGACACAGAGCGUGAAAUCCUCAUCCCAGUGAUGGCAACGGGCAUUUUGCUGCUGCCUUCAGCAGGCCGGGAUUGCAUUCCCUGUGCAUGAACAGACGGUGCAGUGAAGAGGGGAAUGAGUGCAUUAUACAUGGCCAACUAGGAAAUGCUUUGGCAAAGGAAACAGGGCUUAAACCUUGCACUCCUCCAGGCGAAAAAUAAAGGAAGGAGUAAUCUGUGUUCACAUGAGGAGGCAGGCAGCGUGACUCUCGAGUAAAGCUUAGUUCUGUAGCACAGGUGACCUGGCCUUGCAGCCUGCUGCGGUGGUGACCUUCCCAAUGGCUGUAUUUCCCUCCAAGAAAAAGGGAAUAUCGAGACAAACCUGCUUUUCAAGAAAAACCUGAUGAACUCUCAUGUAAUGCUGCUGUUGUACUGGAGGCUUUCUAUGGGUUGAACUUAAUGUCUUGCUUAGAAUACGCUAUUCUUCAAUAUUAACUACUGUAACUAUUAUCUGCUGCGAUGCCUGCUGUCUAUAGGGCUUUAAUGAUCAAGAUCAACUAAAAUAACACUUUAACACUGGUUAUUGAACCCUUGGUAUCAUUUUAUUUUUAGUGUUUGAUAGUAUGGGAUGAAUUGUUUAAAGUUAUAUGGCAUACACAUUAUUAUGCUGUGCUCACAUUUGAAGUACAGUUUUUGAACAAACAUCCCAGAAGUCUCUAUUGGUAACAAGAGCUCACAGAAUCAGAGAGCUAACGAACACUUAAACAUUUGAACCCUCCAGAGUGUGAAAAAAUAAUGGCCAGCUGGUGCCAUUUCAGCUGGGAAAGCAGUGAGCAAACAGCAAAGAUACGUGAAUUAAAUCUUGUUUAUACAACACCACCGAGGACUGCUAAGAAACUGGUUUGAAUUGGUUUUCAGGACAAAGAGGUUUCUCAAAACCUCUGCCCUUUCUGAAUAGUAGCAUUCCUCUGUAAAAGCAGGAUAUUCAGACUUGGAGUUUGGGAGCAGGUUCUGGUAAACAGAGGGAUCUACCACUACCGAGACCCUCAGAAAAAAGAAGAGAUGAAAAAACUGUCAGGAAAUGCAUGCCUAUAUAUCGCUCUAAACUCUUUUCUUUCUGCUAAAAUGCUAAAAGGUUACUGCUGUGUUCGUAAAGGCAGUUUGGCUUGUCUGAACAGACACCUCGUUGUGUAGCAAACUGCUUGAUAAAGUCAGACAUUUCAGAGGGUGUCAGCUAGUUACCUGGUCAAUGAUGGAUCGAUAACCAGUCACGCAGUGCUAGUAUAAUCCAGGGGAAAAAUACAUGUCCUCUUGUAAUCAUAGGGGAAUGCUGGGGACAAGUUCAUGUGCUCCUACGUAUCGUUUCAUCAUCACAAGCUUAUUAUUUCCUUGUAAGUCUUUAACAAGGAGAAACAAUAUAUUUGAGAUUCGUCUCAGGGCCAGAUCCUUUUGAACAAGCCUUCAGCCUGUGUCGUCACGCGUGCCCUUCGCUCCAUGUUCACUCACCUCUGACAGGCAAUUUCUCUACCGGAGGGUGUGUGGACGAUGCCAAUUUGCAUUAACCAACUGAAGUUUCCCAUCUGUCAAUUGGUGGAUAUAAAUCCCAGCGGAUGUUGAAGAGUCAUCUGGAGUGCGUCCAUUGUACUGCUAUUGUCAGUGAUCAUCACCCAGUUACCAUAUAUUUUUGUUGAGCUAAGGGAAUUUGUGGUCUUUCCUCCAAAUGGGUGACUGCAAAAAUUGCGCUCACAGUGGGAGCGUGUUAAGGAGGGUUGCCCGUGCAGGAGAGCUGAAAUCCAGUGUGCCUCACAGGUACUCCAGAUGAACUUCCUUAUGUCGGAGACACUGGGAAUCGCAGCCGAAAUCCCUGUUCCCACGUCACUGACUGUGGAGACUGUUCUCUGGAGCAAGACUGCAUGUCACAGAGAGAGGCUGAGCUCUGAAAACCUUUCAGAGACACUUUCGCUAACUUCUUUCUCCUGGAAAUAAAAUCUAUGUGGUCUUGGAUGGCAUUUUCUACUGGGCAGAGUUGGCAUCUCUGAGAAGGAAGGAACAUCUGUUGCCGUGCCCUGACCAGCUGCAACCCCAGCUAGUGCUGCAGAAAUUGGAGGAGUUGGCCACACCACGGUGGGAAGACCUUAUUCCUUCAGAAAGAAGCAACAUGGAAAAUAAAUGUCCAGAAAAGGAAAUGCAGCUAUUCAUUCUGAAGGAUGGAGGGAACUGGAGGAAGGGAAUCAAGAGCUGGAAGGACUUCAUGUCAUGCAAGAUAUAAGGUGUUUUCUAGUCACAUCACGUUUGUAUGAAGUGUCCCAUGCUGUACACCAUGGCAUACUGUGAAUGUUCACUCAGGGACAGAUUCCCCUCUGCCCUCAGGAGUUUCCACCCCAUUGUGCACAGUCUCAAAACUUUAUUUUCCCUGCAAAAUUGUUAAAGGAUUUGGGUUUUAAUUGCUCAUGUUCAUGCAUUUAAAUAGAGGGCAGGGGCAGAGAAACCCAGUUGGGAGGACCAUAUGGAGACAACACAAGUUAUUCUCGUUCCACCAUUUUCUUGGCAUGGUUUUCCUCUGUCAAACAUUAAUUCAGAUUUGGGACCUCAUUCGGCAUUUACAGUCUCUGCUGCUUCUUACUUCCUUAGAAGCAUCAGGAGGGAUGUAUGGUAUUGCUACAAGAAGCUCUUUACAGGAAAAGAAAUAAAUUGGGCAAUAUGAUACAAAUAAUGGAAGAAUGAAUUAUUUCACCAUUUUAGCAGUUUCCCAGGAGGGAGCAUAGAGGGAGAAAAAUGCACUUAACACUUAAAAAUAUUGAAAUAACAAGAACCACAACAACCUCACCCCUCUGGAUCUGAACCAAACAACUCAAUGGUUUAGGUGAAUUCCCAGCAGAACUCCAAGCGGCACUCUCAGUCACAAAAUAAUUCUGUGCAUGGCAAGGGAAAUUCUACAUAUUAAUGAUAUUAUGAACUAGUUCAGCUAAUUUGGAGUUCUUCUGCAAGGCCUGGUUUCUGGCAGGUUAGCUAUACAUUUUUUGAAAUAUGAGCUGUCCCUUUAAUAAUAAUUUUGAUCCUGUUUGCAUGGAUGGUGUUCCUGGAAAACUGCUUUCUUAAAGCUGUAUUACAAGUACAUGUUUUUAAUGAAUGAUGUUACUCCCUUUAUGCUCCUGGGAUGAGCUAAAAAUUAUUCUGAGCAGUAACUAGAAGGCAGUGAAGCAAAGAGAAUUGUACUUGAUUUUUGAGAUUUACUGGUUACAAAGAUAGCAGAAAGCAAGGGCAGCACUACGAAGGUAAAGGGCCUCUCUAAAAGCUUAAAUGACAACAUACAAAUGUCCUUCUAGGUUUUGUUCACACAUUUGUUGGAAAUUUUAAUGGCAAGUUUGCAGAAAGCAAAAAUGGAAUUAGACAGAAAAGAAAUUACAAACAAUUCUGUAGUGUUCUUUGUGUUUUGGUAUAGUUAAAAAGGUCUAUGUGAAGUUCUAGCUAACUAAAAAUAAAUACUCAAUCACAAAAUAUCUAACUCCGCAGAUAGGCCCUGAACCCUCAGUGAGGUUGGUGUGCCCCUAUGGAGUCCAUGGGGGACUGGGACCAUACAUCCAAACCUGUCAAUGGCACCGUUGUUAUGAGAGCUUGAAUGGACAACAGGAAGCCCUGGGGCUCUUCUCCUCUUCCGCAAGCCACCGCUUGAAUUAUAUAUUGCAAAAUAGAUGGUCUUGGAAGGCGUAUGUCAGUGGAACAAUGUACGGAGCUUGUUCCAGAGCUGACGUCCCCCAUCGGAAACAUGUCACCUCUUAAAUGAAAAGGGGAAACCAGGUCUCUGUGUUUCUGCUGCUCGUUGCCACCACAGCAGCACUGCUUAUGGAAGGAGCCUCAAGUAACCGGGCCCCGAAAGUUAGAACAGGACCUUCGGCCUAUUCCUGGCUAUCGGAGGAAAACACGCCGAGGUAAACUAGCUGGUUCUGAAAUGGGGCCGCUGAGAUUGCUCCGAAAUAGGCAGUGUCCGAGUCACGGCAGGCCUGGCCUUUCAGGACAGAAUUGCUCAUAGCAGCUGGCCGACUGCCCGCUUGGGAACUGGAGCAUGAGACAGUUUAUGAACUUAAAACACAUUUUCCAACCUUAUGGGAUUUUCCUUACAGUCUGUUCUCAGCAAAGCAGCGUUAUUAUUGUAAAUAGAUGCUCUUUUUGUCCCAUCUCCCAAGGGACAAAAAUUAAUGUUAUGUUUGAAAAUAUAUGUUUUCCCACUCAUUGCUGAAGCUGUUCUUUUCCAUAAGGUCUAUAGAAAGCGGAGCAUUAGCAGAUACUGUUAAUAUCAUUACUUCAAAGUUAUAGCUGAAUGUCUUUGCCAGAGAAUCUUUCAUAAAAGACGUAGCCUUCAUCUCCUCAGAACUGCAGGGGUUGGAAAGGAGCUUUAGUGAGUCAUCUCAGGCGUCCUCCUGCACUGUGGCAGGACCUUUCUGUCCAGCCCCUCUGCACAGUCCCUCUUUAACCCUCUCACUCCAGAUGCCUGAGCACUGGCUCUCGGGCUCAUCAUUUAGACUGCUGUUUUCCUGACACACUGAUAUCCUAUUCUGGACCAGGGUAGAGGAGGGAACCUGCUGGUACAAUGCUGGGGUACAACACUUCUCCCUUCUGCUCCCAAGCCAUCGCCCUCCUCCCUGUGUCUUCUGUGCCACUAUGCUUUGGAAUAUUUUUACAGCUGCCCCCCUCCCUCCUUCGGGAGGAUUUUUUUUUUCUCGGCGCUUCUCCGGCUGGUGAAUGGUUUUUCCAGUCUCCUCUCUCCCAGCGGCUGGUCUGUGCGUUACGUAUUUGUGGAAUCACUGCUGUGCCAGUCCCCGAGGCAGAAAGGCAACCCCGGGCCAAGCACACAGCUGAAUUUGUUGGUGCACCAGACCAACGCUAAGUCUGGGGAAUUGGUUUUGUGCCAGGUGAAACAUUGGGCCGUCACAGUCUUUCAAGCCUUCCCCUUCCCUCUGAUCCCAUGUGCACUGAUUUGGCUGUGGGGGCUCGCUGAGGCACCACUCUCCAGCAAAAGAGCCACGAGGUUUGGACUGCGCUGUAACCCCGAGGACUCUUCCAAGCCCUCUUGCCUACUGCCGUAUGACGACUCCAUGCCCACAGUGAUAUCUGUUUAACAAGAAGAUUUUGCUCUUAGUCAUAAAUCUAUGAAUAUUUAUGCUGCAGAACAAAUACUAAGGGAAAACUAUCACUGCCUAAUGAGAUCUGCAGCAAUUUUAGCCAAGGGUGAUAGCAACCACAUGGUCGAACUGUGCUCCCUCAUGCUACACUCCCCUGGCUGUAUCUCUGGGACUGCUGAGGCAUGAUGGAUGGUGCCUGGGAUUGCAACAAGGUGCAAUGAUGCUUUUUCAGCUCUGGGAGAGCUUUGCUGUCCACCUGGGUAUGUGGGAAAUUCACUGGCUGAUUAACAACAGCACUUGAGCAGUUUUGCACAUGUGAAAGUAGCACAUGUGGUCCAGUCCCUCCAUUCAGCCAAGCCAUCUGCCUGCUGCUGGUAGUGCGGCUUGUCUUGGGUUCUGAGUUUGAAUGGGAAUAAUGCUUGGGCAGUAAAUUGGAUAAAUUCACUUUUUUCAGCUUUUAAUUAUUAGACAUUAUUUUUUAAAAAAUCCCUGAUUUUAUUUGUGGAAAAAGGAGGGGUGAAUACCCCUUCAUAAUUCUAGUCUAGAAUUUAUCCAAUGCGUAUCAGGACAAAACUUGGGGAGACAAUCCAUAAAGCUUUCAUUCUUCACUAUCUUAUUCCCUGACUUAGCUGGAAGCCCUGUAGCAUGGGAUACAAGAACAAUAUAUCCAACAGGACACUGAUAAGUGCGUGUUCGCUCUUAAAAGUGGGCUAGAAAUAUAAUAACUUGGAUUAUUUUUUCAUUACAAAGAUAAAUAAUAAUUUGACAGGAGAUGUCAUUAUUGUUUAAUGACUUUGUCUUAACAGAACAAUUGAAGGAAAUAUGUUUGCUCUUCCUCAUCCCUUGCCAUUUCCAUGAUGUCAAUAGAUCUGGCCAUAACAAUUGGAAAGUUAGAACAUAGGAAAGGCACUACCUGCUGAGCAAAAUACACACAAUAAUACAUGGGAGCACCGAUGUGUUUCACUAAUACAGACAUCUGUAUCAAAGUUUAUCAAGAAAACAGAAAAUGAGAAGGAAGUUUUAUGGGAGGCAUUUUGCUUUGUCUGAAUCAGUAACUAAGCCGUCAUGACGGUGACUCAGUGAGUAAAAGCCCUGCCACAUCCUGCAGGAAUGAAGAGGUUUGUGCACAACUAGGAGUUUGGGUUGUUUAGACAUUUGUGCUGUGUUUUUGUUUUUCUUUCCUUCAUGUGGGGCUUCUGCCCAAGGAAUCUGGCUGGCUGGCAACGCGCACUGCAUCCGGCAUCACCUGUACAUGGUUUUGCCACAUGAGGAGGACGGCUGGCCGUACAGACUGAGUCAAUUAUUGCUUUUAAGAUAGUGGAUGUGUUUUUAGUUUGAGCUGUAGAGAUUGUCCUUUGAGGGCCAGAGGCCACAGUUUCAGUUUUGGUUUCCUCUGCUGAUGUCACCUCCUAAAACAUUAAGCUGAUAAGAAGGGGAAGGCAAAAAUUAAGACAGAGGGUCAUGGGGCGGUGGAGAAGAGUGUGUUUUCUCAUCACAGCCACAGUUAACUCUUUUCACAUUCUCAGACAAAUCCUUCCGUGUCGCCUUCUCAGCAACCCAUUGCUGCAGAAACAAAAUUUGCAAAUCUGUUUGCCUAUCCAUAUAUCAUAGGGUUCACUCCAGAAAAUCCCUUUCUACAGCAUUAUCUGAAAACAAGAGGGCUGGAUUGUGCCAGACUCACAGCCUAGGUAGUCAACUCUCCAUCUCUAAUGUAGCAGGAGGCAUUUAAGACAAUUUGCCUCUCAUCACAUCUCAUUCAGGUUGUAUCCUGGCCUCUAACAGAAGGUGGUGUUGGCUCACAUUUUAGUAUCACUUACAGAAGUUUUUUUUCUAGCCUAGGAUACCACUUGAUCUCUCUGAUAUUUGGCGCAACUCCCUUUUUUUACAAACCUUGUUAAAAUUUCCUUCUUAGUAACUUCCACAUAGUGAUAAGUCCUUUGGGUUAAUCACACACUAUGCAAAGAAAUAUUUCUGUUUACCCCUUUUGACUUUCUCACUUUUCCAACCCAUUCCCUCAAGACUGUGGUUGCCGUCUAAAAACGACCAUUCUACACCUGAACCAGCAAGACACGUGGACCCGCUUUCAAAUGGUCUAACCAACCCCUUGUUUAGUGUUCUUAGUGUUUCCUGUUGCCCUUCAAACACCAUGUAGCUAAUAGGAAACAGUAGGCAGGGGGGCUGAGGUGGGAUUUGGGCUGGGUAUAUCUGAAUAAAGUAAUGUGGAUGCUUCAUCUACUUCUCUCAUUCCUGUCGCUGUUUUUCCUCAUGUCCACUGUACUUUGCUUGUUCCCUGUGUCUGUCUUUUUGACUUUUUGAAUGUUAUUCGCCCUGCCGCAUUGUCACAUUGCCGCAGCACUCAGAGCACGGCUGCGGAAAUAAUCUGCCAUCAGCAGAGGGUCGCAAAGCAGGUAGCCACCUCUGCCUCCGCAGCCUGCGCGGGGACUGGGCACCCCCAGGACAAUAAAGGGAUGCGUGUGAGGAAGAGAGAGAGGAGAAAUAGUUAGCUCAACUGUUUUCAUACUGUAAAACACCUUCAUAAGGAAAAGGUCUGAAGUCGCUGAAGAGUGCAUACGGUGCCUGUUUCAUCAGAAUGUGGAAUAUCCAUGGUGAUCCAGAAAAAAACCUACCUUUUUGGUAUAAAGACUGUCUGGCCUUCCUUGAUCUGACAAAGACUGAGGAUCAUUAGAUCUCCUCUGACUUCCUAGGUGGCACAGGACAUAGAAUUAAACCUUCU